AUUGAACGCUGGCAGCAGGCCUAACACAUGCAAGUCGAGCGAGCGGCGGACGGGUGAGUAAUGUAUGGGGAACUGCCCGAUAGAGGGGGAUAACUACUGGAAACGGUGGCUAAUACCGCAUACUAUCAGAUGAGCCCAGAUGGGUUUAGCUAGUGGGUGGGGUAAAGGCUCACCUAGGCGACGAUCCCUAGCUGGUCUGAGAGGAUGAUCAGCCACACUGGAACUGAGACACGGCCCAGACUCCUACGGGAGGCAGCAGUGGGGAAUAUUGCACAAUGGGCGCAAGCCUGAUGCAGCCAUGCCGCGUGUAUGAAGAAGGCCUUCGGGUUGUAAAGUACUUUCAGCGGGGAGGCGUUACCCGCAGAAGAAGCACCGGCUAACUCCGUGCCAGCAGCCGCGGUAAUUC
rnacentral:rRNA from 1 species